AGUUGAGCGCUGAAGGUUGGUACUUGUACCGACUGGAUGAGCAGCGAACGGGUGAGUAACGCGUGGGGAAUCUGCCUUUGAGCGGGGGACAACAUUUGGAAACGAAUGCUAAUACCGCAUAAAAACUUUAAACACAAGUUUUAAGUUUGAAAGAUGCAAUUGCAUCACUCAAAGAUGAUCCCGCGUUGUAUUAGCUAGUUGGUGAGGUAAAGGCUCACCAAGGCGAUGAUACAUAGCCGACCUGAGAGGGUGAUCGGCCACAUUGGGACUGAGACACGGCCCAAACUCCUACGGGAGGCAGCAGUAGGGAAUCUUCGGCAAUGGACGAAAGUCUGACCGAGCAACGCCGCGUGAGUGAAGAAGGUUUUCGGAUCGUAAAACUCUGUUGGUAGAGAAGAACGUUGGUGAGAGUGGAAAGCUCAUCAAGUGACGGUAACUACCCAGAAAGGGACGGCUAACUACGUGCCAGCAGCCGCGGUAAUACGUAGGUCCCGAGCGUUGUCCGGAUUUAUUGGGCGUAAAGCGAGCGCAGGUGGUUUAUUAAGUCUGGUGUAAAAGGCAGUGGCUCAACCAUUGUAUGCAUUGGAAACUGGUAGACUUGAGUGCAGGAGAGGAGAGUGGAAUUCCAUGUGUAGCGGUGAAAUGCGUAGAUAUAUGGAGGAACACCGGUGGCGAAAGCGGCUCUCUGGCCUGUAACUGACACUGAGGCUCGAAAGCGUGGGGAGCAAACAGGAUUAGAUACCCUGGUAGUCCACGCCGUAAACGAUGAGUGCUAGAUGUAGGGAGCUAUAAGUUCUCUGUAUCGCAGCUAACGCAAUAAGCACUCCGCCUGGGGAGUACGACCGCAAGGUUGAAACUCAAAGGAAUUGACGGGGGCCCGCACAAGCGGUGGAGCAUGUGGUUUAAUUCGNAGCAACGCGAGGAANCUUACCAGGUCUUGACAUACUCGUGCUAUUCCUAGAGAUAGGAAGUUCCUUCGGGACACGGGAUACAGGUGGUGCAUGGUUGUCGUCAGCUCGUGUCGUGAGAUGUUGGGUUAAGUCCCGCAACGAGCGCAACCCCUAUUGUUAGUUGCCAUCAUUAAGUUGGGCACUCUAACGAGACUGCCGGUGAUAAACCGGAGGAAGGUGGGGAUGACGUCAAAUCAUCAUGCCCCUUAUGACCUGGGCUACACACGUGCUACAAUGGAUGGUACAACGAGUCGCGAGACAGUGAUGUUUAGCUAAUCUCUUAAAACCAUUCUCAGUUCGGAUUGUAGGCUGCAACUCGCCUACAUGAAGUCGGAAUCGCUAGUAAUCGCGGAUCAGCACGCCGCGGUGAAUACGUUCCCGGGCCUUGUACACACCGCCCGUCACACCACGGGAGUUGGGAGUACCCGAAGUAGGUUGCCUAUACGCAAGGAGGGCGCUUCC
rnacentral:rRNA from 1 species